UCUGUCUCAAAAUAACAAAACAAAAGAAGAGGAAAAGGAGGUUCCAGAUAAUUAGGUUCAUGAUCCCUCAGAUCCAUUGCUUCUGAGCUUGGGAGAAGCAGAAACUAAGCAGCAGUCAGUGGAUGCUGAAAUUGAGAAAGGCACUCUGCCUGCAAUCCCGAAACUUGGAAGCUGAACCUGACGCACGAGUUCCAGACCAACCUAGACUUUGUAACGUAGCAAAACCUUGUCUCGAAAAGCAGAUGUUACCUCCAAAAAGGCAAAUUCUCCACCAGAUAGCUGCAGUUUUGAAAGAGCGCCCAGGGUGCUGGAAUCCCCCAGAACCCAGCCAUCAAAGACCUGCAUGGAGGACAAGGAGAUGUGUAUACAACAAUGCCCAGCCCAGAGGAAACUAAAAACCCUACAGCCUUUCAGUUCCUUUAUCCUGCACCUGGCGGGAGCCAGGGCCAGCCCCGCCCACACUUCCUUCUCCCC